UGAAUCAGCGGAAUCGAACCCUGAGCCACCCGCUUGGCAAUUGGGCAUUCUACCACUGUACCACCGAUAC